UACGAAGGGGGCUAGCGUUGUUCGGAAUUACUGGGCGUAAAGGGCGCGUAGGCGGUGCUGUAAGUCAGGCGUGAAAUCCCCGGGCUCAACCUGGGAAUUGCGUUUGAUACUGCGGCGCUGGAAUGCGGGAGAGGAUGGCGGAAUUCCCAGUGUAGAGGUGAAAUUCGUAGAUAUUGGGAAGAACACCGGUGGCGAAGGCGGCCAUCUGGCCCGUAAUUGACGCUGAGGCGCGAAAGCGUGGGGAGCAAACAGG
rnacentral:rRNA from 1 species